CCCAAUACAAUUUUUGUUUGUAUUUUACCUCCUAGUCAAAUAAUCAAUGAAAUUGAGACCAAAAUGCCCUUCUUAAUACUUUCCUUUUUUGUUUUUCUCAUCUUUCCUUUUAAUCACAUCACACGCUUGCUCUCUCUUUCUCUCUCUACUCUCCUACUUUCUCUCUCUACCUCUAUCCAUCUGUCCUCUCUCUUUCUCUCUCUAUCCAUUUCUCUUUCUCCCCUCUACCUAUUUAUCUUUCUAUCUCUCUUUCUCUCUCUACCCUCCCUCAGUUUCUCUCUCCACUUUUUCCCAAACUUCUUUGGCCGAGACGUUUCUCUCUUCCUCACCAUUUCUCUCUCCAUUCUCUACUCUUUAAAACUUCUUUGGUCGAGAAAGCCUUGAUUUUCAAUGGUCAGCUCUUGUAAUGACCUAGACUUUCGCGGUGAAGAGAGAAGAAGAGAACGUACGCAUGGUGGAGAGAAAGUGCACACGGCGGUGAGAAAGUACGUACGGCGGUGAAGACAGAAGAAGAAGAGAAAGUGCGAACGACGGUGAGAGAGUGCGCACAGAGGUGAAGAGAGAAGAAAAAGAAAAAAGUAUAUACAACGGAGAGAAAGUGCACACGACAAUGAGAGAAUGCGCACGGCGGUGAAGAGAGAAGAAGAAGAGAAAGUGCGUACGGUGGUGAGAGAGUGUGCAUGGCGGUGAAGAGAGAAGAAGAAGAGAAAAUGCGUUACUCUGCCAAGCCUGUGCAUGACUCAUGGAUGCCACUUGCCUACUGCAUGUUAUUGCAGCUGCCACCUGUCAAACUGCAUGUCACUGAACUGCCACAUGGCAACCCCAAGGCGUCACCUCACAUUUUUGGAGUACAUAAGUCUCUCUCUCUUUCCCUCACGCUAUGUUCUCACUCUUACAAGCCAAAGCACUUAGCAUUUGCAGCCCCCUUUCUAACCUUUGUUGGAGGCCAAAUUGAAGAGCUUGAGGAGUGAGUUGUGGGAGGAAAUUUGGGAACACCAUUGCACACACAAGGUAAGUGGAUCAACUACCUUGUAGGUCCUUAAGCAUGAAUCGAACAUGAAUUAAGCAUGAUAAUGAGCAUGAGUAGUAGUAUAAAUAAUAGAUGCCUGUGCACACUGUUACGCUGUGAUUUCCAGCAACACAUAUUGCCUUUGCAUGACCAAAAUGGGUAUCAAAUCUUUCUUGUUUGUCAUGGAAAUUCUGUGAUUAUAUGCUUUUAUGUGUCUAUUAGAAAUUGAGAAAGGUUUAUGAUAAGAUUUGGCAUGAAUUAAGAGCUAAUUGAUUAUUAUGAUAAGUGAUACCGUGACUGCACUGUAAUUUCCAAGAAGAAUCUAUGUUUUUGUAAUCUACAUUUAGCCUAUCAAAUGACAUCCAAAUGUGUUCAAAUCAUCACCAUUAGAAAGAUACAUGGGUCUAUUAUAAUGUUCAUGUUUAAACCUUUCUCAAAUUCUUUAUAAAUGAAGAGCGAUGCUUCAAAAUGUGCAAGUAGGUCACUGUUGACAUAUUCAUAAAAACUCACAACUGAUAUCUCUGUUGUCACGAAUUUUGACUGAUCAAAUAGACUCUCUUUUCUUCCAAACAUCUGUCAUUUGAGAGAUCCAUGAGUGUGCUUGUAAUCACAUGUUGAACACAUUUUGAAAUUCAUCCUAGAUUUGAUAGUUAUGUAAGUAUUUGUGAAGGCAUGUUACUGCCUCUACUGCACAUAUGAUUUCAGAUGGAACAACUAUAUUCUCUUGAGCUUUUGAAGGGCUAAAUGAGAUCCAAACAUUUUCAAACCACUUCCAUUUGAAAGAUACAUGUGUCUAGUGAAAAAUCGGUUUUGGAACCAUUUUCAAAUUCCAAGGGGAUCAGACAUUAUGACCACGUUUAUGAUCAGAUGUCUCUUGCUGAAAUUGCAGAAAGUGUUGUACUAUGAUAAGGAGACUGUAACUCUACUAUAAUGAAAUUGUAGAGAAAUCCCUUACGAAUGGAAUGCCAUGCCUAAUCUUGCAUAUGUGCAUUUCAAUGUGAAUAAUAAUGACUUUCAAACUGCUAUGAAAUUCUAUACAUGUCAUGUACUGGAACUCUAAAUAUAACCUUGAUUUCUUCACUGAAAAUACAUGAUACUUGAGUAUCCCUGAAAUCUUGAAAAUAGUAAUGCAUAAACGAAUGAAUGCUCGAAUAUGCAUGUAUAUACUGCAAUCAUAUCUGUUAUAUGUGCCAUGAACACUGCACAAUGGGUCCUCCAUUGGUAGUGGAUAUUCUGAUUCUUUUAUAUGAAUUCUGUUAUAUGUACUAUAAAUACUAUGCAGUGGGUCCUCCAUUGGUAGUGGAUUUUAUGAUUCUGUGACCACUACGCAAUGGGUCAUCCAUUGGUAGUCGGAUUUAUAAUCUGCUAUACUAAAAACCGAUAUCUGUGAUAUGACUACUACGCAAUGGGUCCCCCAUUGGUAGUCGGGUAUACUGUACCUUGACUCCUAUGAUAGAAGUGGAGUCGAGAGGUGACUAUGAAUAACAGGGAGGGCUGAGCCCCCCAAAUUGUAAUGAGCACUACACAUUAGGUCCUUCAAUGGUAGUAUAAUGCUCUCUUGCCUAAAAGCAUAAUGAGAAGGUCGUAUCUCGCAAGGCCACAACCUAUCCAAAGCAUGCUGGGGAUCAUGUGCGUGAGUGAGGACAUUAUGAAAUGAGAUCUCAAUUUGUCAUUGUCCUCCCUCCCAAAUGAGGGUAGAAGUUCCAAGUUACAGGAUUGGCGUAGACUGAUCGAUGUGACUUCUCCUUCUGGAGCAAAUAAUUAUGUUUCCGCCUGCCUGAAUUAAGUUUUAUAUAUUAUUAUGUAUGAUUGUCUGACUGUGACCGUGAUACUCAUCGAUGUAACUUCCAUUUCAAGAAAUAUUAGAUGCUCUGACAUCUGAACAAUACUCUUUUUAUACUAUUAGUGUACAUAUUCUGAUACAUGACUCUUCUGACGCCAGUAUGAUCUUUGAUGAACUGUAGGUCAUGUUACCAUUUAUGUGCUUGUAGGCUGAAAUACAAGGGUAGUGAUCUACUUACUGGGCUUAUAGCUCAUCCCUCUUUUUUUUUAUCUGUAUAGAGUGAUAGUGCGUGACUGAGAGAGGCGAGCAACAGAUUGAUGAUAGCAGGCACUUGGAGUUUCAUACCUGUUCAAGAUUUCUUUUGAGCCUAGUAGGUGUCUGGUGGUGUGGUGACGUGUAUCCUGUUUGAUGUAAUGAAAUAUUAGGCUUGUAGGCCUGGAAUAAUAUUGUAAAGAACUUUUGAGAUGGAAUGUAUACUUCAUGGUUUUAAUUUGUUCAGUUUCUGACACUUGAUGUAUAAGUUUAAUUUUAAUUUUUGUGGUUUGCUUUGAUUCCACCCUUUUGACACGCGUUGAGCCAUUCCCACUUGAGUGACAUUUGUGACUUUCAGUCGCGGUCCCUCGCCCUGUCACCCUCCGGUAUAGAAUGGUAGGAGUCAAGGGGGAGGUCGUAACAGUUAUGGUAUCAGAGCAGUCAAGAUAGGAUUCUUAGCCUACAGAUUCUUAGAGGUGUUUCUAUAAUGGUCUUGAAUAGGUUAGUAACUGGGUGCUCCUGUUUUAGGUUAAGAUGUUGAGGAAUCGUGCUAAUAAUGCGAGCUCCAACAAUGAGAAUACUAAAGCCCUUGGUGAAUUCUUCAGAACCUUUGGGACAAUGACCUAAAUGAUGAAAGACAACAUGCCGGCCCUGGCUACUCCUGCCCCUGAACUGACUGACAGUGGGUUGAUAGAAAGAUUUAGGAGGCUAGCAUCUCCGACGUUCUUGGGGCAUGGGGGAGUGGAGAAAGCGAAAUGGUAGAGGAGACAAGUGGAGAAAAUUUUUGAGGUGUUACAUUGUACUGAUGAGCAAAAGGUUAGGCUGGGAACCUUCAUGUUAGAAGGAGAUGCUGAGCACUGGUGGGGCUCAGUGAAGCAAUCAUGGGAAGGGUCAGGGACAAACGUGAAUAGGGAGAACUUUCUAGAAGCAUUCACUGAGAAGUACUUCCUUGACUCUGUACGGGAAAAAAGGAAAUGGAAUUUAUUGAGCUGCAAUAGGGGAAUCUAUCAGUGGAGCAGUAUGUUGCCAAGUUCAUUGAGCUGUCGAGGUAUGCGCUACAUAUUAUUAACACUAAUGAACAAGUUUGAGAGAGGCCUCAGGCCCGAUAUAAGGGGAAGGGUGAUAACGACAAACCUCAAAACCUUCUCCCCUUUGGUAGAUCUUGCCAUGAAAAUUGAGAGGGACGGAGAAGAGUCCCGAUUAAGAAAGGGACGAAGAAUGGGGCCAGCCCAGUUUAGGAACCUUGGGAGAAAGAUUCAACCACCUUUAAAGAUUCAACCACCUUAAAGGAUAAGUUUCAUGAAAAGAGAUAACCAACGGAACAAGAAGAUUCAGAAGACCUUUCCGGGCGAUAUAAGGGAGAACCAGCGCCCGACGUGCCCAUACUGUGGGAAGGACAAUCACUAUGCGGCUGAGUGCGGAAGGGCAGGAGCAUGUUUCAGAUGUGGCAAACCUGACCAGCUAAUCAAAGACUGUUAGGUAAAGGGAUUAGUGUUUGAAUGCAUUUUUCAGCACCUUAGUCCCUGAUGUGGAAUGAAGAGGAAGCAUGUCAAUAAAGCCUACAAAACAGUAGAAAUUUAACAGUCUCAGAAUGGCCCCAUAAUCAGUCAAGAUCUUCAUUAGCACUCCAAAAGGGCACAUGUCAAGUUUCAUAGCAAUCAAACAUGUCUAAGGCAGUGAACACAAAGAAACAAUUUUGACAAAAGCAGCCUCUAACAUCCUAAAAUGGACUCCAUAACUAGAACUAUAUUUUUGGUGCGUCAAAUAGCUGUGGGACCACUGCAUUAAAUCCGACACGGUCGAAAACCCAUAUGGGUCAAGUUUCGACUUAAUCGGGCACUCUAGGACAAAGUUAUGGGUAAAAUACUAAAAGGGGUAGGCCGUACACUAUUCCCGUGUGGCCACCUUGUACCAAAACACCAUUAAAGGUGGUUGUUUUAUAGUCAUGGGCAGUGACUUUCAGGGCCCAUAUCUCACUGGUUUCAAGUAGGAUCGCUCUCAAAUUUUGUGAGCACUUUCGUCUCAUCAAGACGAGUGUUUCGAUGUGUAGCACGUCCCAUGAAAAUGCCCGAGCAGGGAGAAAAACUAGAGAGAAGUUGCUAAUCAGUGAAGAAAAUUGUAGAAACUUCAGCAGCAGCACGUCUCACUUGAGCGGCCAAAUCAUGACGCUCGCAUACCUGAUCGGCACGAAAUCAAUUGCAUUAUGUGUGUGAGGUCUGUGGCUAUCUUUGGUCCAAACCCCACGUACGAUAAACUGUUAGAUUUCAUACAUGGAGGCGUCGAAGUUGCUGUAAAUUCCGGCUGACGAAUUUCAAUAUUCCGACAAAAAACUCAAGAUGACGAAAUCUUCAUCCGGACACGAAAUCGAGCUACUUUUGUUUCAACAUGACCGUGACGGUAUGCUCAGUGUGAUUCAAUGAAGAAAAAGAAGAAAAACAUUAAGAAAUGAGCACACAAUCGAUCCAAAAUUCUCAAGAUUCAAUCAAAUUUCAAGUUUCAUGAUCAUAGAUUAAAAACAUGAUUCAUGGCUCGAAGGUGGUAUCAAAUCGAUAGCCAUGCUGAGAUCCACAAGAAAAAAAUCAUCGUUCGAUCAAACAGGCAUCAGAAUAACCCCGGAUCAGUCAUGAAAGAUCACGCAAGUUCUCGAGCAGCAGCAGUGACUGUUUUGAAAUUCCACAUAUUGCUAGGCAGGGGAAAAACAAUCUUUUUGUACCCAUUUUUAGAACUUCUUUUAAUUUAAUUAAAUUGUAAUUAUCUUCAAUUCUAAGUAGUUUUUGGGCGUCCACCCAUGUUUGGGCUUAAUUCUAUAUAAGCAUGUAAAGUCAAAUUGUAAAAUCCCCUUGGGUUAGUUCUUAAAGAUUAAAAAAAAACUUCAUUUUUGCUUAAGCUCGUGGGUGUGUCUUAAAGAGAGAGAGAGAGCAGAGAGAAGAAAAGGGCUAGUAUCCUCUGGCAAAGUAACUUUCUCGCUCUUCUUCUCGUCUCUUUCUCUCUCUUCUUCUCGUCUCUAUCUCUCUCUUCUUCUCGUCUCUAUCUCUCUUUCUCUCUCUUUUUCUCAUCUCUAUCUCUUUUUCUCUCUCUUCUUCCCAUUUCUAUCUCUUUCUCUCUCUUCUUCCCAUCUUUUAUCCCCUUCUUUAGAUACAAUCAGCGAAGCUUAGCGCUGACUGUGUCUCUUCUCUCUCCUCUGUCUAGACACAGUCGGUGAAGCUUAACGUCGACUGCUUCCCCUCUCUCUCCUUUGUUGAGCCCAAUCAGUGAACCUCAGUGCCUAUUGCAUCUUCUCUCUCUUCUUAAAACACAACAACAAUGCCUAGCACCGACUGUGUCUCUCUCUCUGCUCUUCUUAAAACACAUCCGGUAAUGCCUAGCACCAACUGUGUCUUUCUCUCUCCUCUCUUCUUAAACAAAACAUAGCCGACGAUUCUUAACACGGACUGUGUCCUUCUUGUCCCCUCUCUCUCUAACACAGCUGGCAAUACCUAGCACCGACAAUGUCCUCUCUCUCUCCUUCUUGCCCCCUCUCUCUAACACAGCUAGCGAUACUUAGCGUCGACUGUGUGCUCUCUCUCUCUCUCCUUCUUGCCCCCUCUCUCUCUAACACAGCCGAUGAUAUCUAAUGAUGACUGUGUCCUCUCUCACUUCUUCUUCUAACAUAGCUGACGAUGCCUAGCACCGACUGUGUAUUCUUUCUCUUCUUCUUCCAACACAACCGGCGACGCCUGACGCCGACUGUGUCCUUCUCCCUCCUCUCUCUUUCCUUCUCUCUUCUCUCACACUCUUCUCCUCCUUUCUUUCCCUUCCUCUCUUUCUUUCUCUACUCCUCUUAUUCUCUUACUUCUUAUUCUCUCUUUAUGAUUUCCAUACCUUCUAUUAUCCUUUCGUUUGACUAAGAGGGGUUGAGAUUAGCCCCUUAUGAUAGCCCUGUCAUCUAGCUGUAAUAUUGUUGUGCCAAAAUUUCUGUGCCCGCUUUAUUGCCACGGCAGACUAACUAUCGCGUCUAGCUAGUCAGUAUCGAUAUUGACGUUUAGUAGUAACUUUGUUGAAUCAGUCUGAGUUAUUGAGCCCAUUUUAGUGCCACGUCAAACCAAUUACCUACCAGUUUAGUCACUGUGCUGAUCUCCCCGUCGAGUCUAAUUCUUGUCUCCCCCAUCUUCCUUAUCUUGUUCUUCUCUUCUUCUUAUGAAUGUGCACGCUUGUGUACGUUCACCAAAGAGGCAAGGAAAGGUCUAUUAUGUGUGAUUGCAUUAAACAGAAGAAUACAAGCCAAGGGAGGCGAUUCUGAACCAGUUUUACGAUUAGGGGGCUUUCUUCGUGAUCUAAGAGGGCGCCCACGUGAACCAGCUCGAACCCACCUUAAAUUCCUCUCUUAUCGGUUGGUAAUACCUGCUCUUGUUCUCGAACGAGGUUCUCGAGAGAGAGAGAUCUCAAAACGUUUUGGGUCUCCCUUGAAAAUCGAGAUGCGUGCCACUCGAUCAUUCAGAUCCGGAGGGAGAGAUCGAGGCACUUAACCAACUAGAAAACCAAUCGAAGACUCAAGGUCUGGCAUUUUCUCUCACAGAACGAGAAGCCAAGGCGUUUGCCUCUGUAAUCCGAGGUACGCUCUUAUUUUGUGGCAUGGAAGCUAAAAUUCUGAUUGACCCUGGAUCUUCGCAUUAUUUUGUUGCACCCCACUUUUCAUGCCAUAUGAAUGCUAAACCUGCACUUCUUGACUGGACUUUGGUAGUAUGCACACCUAUGGGUAAAUGUUUAGAUACUUAUAUUGUUUAUAAGCACUGUGGAGUCUUGCUUGAAGGAUGUGUCUUACCUAUAGACUUGAUACUGUUAGACAUUCAAGAUUUUGAUGUUAUUUUGGGCAUGGACUGGUUGUCCACACAUUAUACUACAGUAAAUUGCUAUGAUAAAAUUGUAACCUUUAGAUGCCCAAAUUAGCUUGAGUUGAACUUUGUAGGCAUUAAGGAUGGCUCCCCUCUACAACUUAUUUCGGCCCUUCGGGCUUCUCGCCUGUUGACCAAAAGAUGCGUUGGGUAUUUGGCCUUUGUAGUAGAGAAUUGGGAUGUCCAGUCCAAGUUAGAAGAGAUACCAGUGGUGAGGGAAUAUCCCGAAGUUUUUCCUGAGGAGUUGACCUCUUUGCCUCUAAUCAGGGAGAUAUAAUUUGAGAUAGAUGUGGUUCCAGACACCGUUCCCACCUUUAAAGCCCCUUAUAGGCUGGCCGUAGCUGAAUUAAAGGAACUAAAAGAACAAUUGCAAGAGUUGUUGGAAAAAGGGUUCAUUCGACCCAGUGUGUCACCUUGGGGUGCACUGGUCCAAUUUAUGAAAGAGAAAGAUGGGUCUUGAAGGCUUUGUAUAGACUAUAGACAGCUGAACCAGGUCACUGUAAAGAAUAAAUACCCCUUGCCUAUAAUUGAUGACCUUUUUGACCAACUUCAAGGGGCCCAAGUGUUUUCUAAGAUUGACAUUCGGUUAGGCUAUCAUCAACUACGAGUCAAGGAAGAAGAUGUCCCUAAAAUCGCAUUCAGGAUCCGAUAUGGACAUUAUGAAUUCUUGGUAAUGUCGUUCAGGUUGACCAAUGCUCCGGUUGUCUUAUGGAUUUGAUGAUAGAGCUUUUAGAUCCUUUCUAGAUGAUUUUGUGGCGGUCUUUAUAGAUGAUAUUCUGGUAUAUUCAAGGAAUCUGGAAGAGCAUGGGCAACACUUAAGAAUGGUCCUCCAGACUCUAAAGAUAGAGAAGUUCUAUGCUAAAUUGGGGAAGAGUGAAUUUUGGCUUCCAAGCAUGGCCUUCCUUGGGCAUGUUGUAUCUAAGGACGGAGUCGCAGUCAACCCUUGUAAAAUUGAAGCUGUACUUCAGUGGGGAAGACUGACAAAUGUGACUGAGGUCCGUAAUUUUUUGGGACUGGCAGGCUAUUAUAGGCGCUUCGUAGAAGGGUUCUCAAAGAUAACGCUCCCCCUAACUCGCCUAACCCAGAAAGAAGUGAAGUUUGUAUGGACAGAUCAUUGUGAAAUAAGUUUUCAAGAACUGAAAAAGUGACUGACCUCGGCUUCAAUACUGGCCUUACCCAAAGGGAACGAGGAUUUUGUGGUUUAUACUGAUGCCUCUUAUAAAGGGCUUGGAUGUGUGCUGAUGCAGUAAGGGAAAGUCAUAGCGUAUGCCUCCAGACAGUUAAAGUCGUACGAGCAAAAUUACUCAACUCAUGACUUGGAACUUGUGGCUGUAGUGUUUGCCUUGAAAAUCUGGAGACAUUACCUCUAUAGGGCCCAUUUUAAGAUAUUUACAAAUCAUAAGAGCUUCAAGUAUCUAUUUUCUCAUAAGGAGUUAAACAUGAUGCAAAGAACAUGGAUGGACCUACUGAAUGAUUAUGACUGUACCAUUAACUACCAACCGAGCAAAACCAAGGUAGUAGCAGAUGCUUUGAGCCGAGAGCCCAUUGUAUCAAUGACACAUCUGAUGGUUCGAGAGAUGAAACUAUUAGAAGAAGCAAUGGAGUGGCACCCAACCUUGCCCCUUAGUGAUGGGGUAGGAAUGACUGCUUGUAUGAGGAUGGAGCCGCAACUCCUUUAGCAGAUUCGAAUGGCCCAAAAAGAAGAUCUCAAACUCAUGAAAAUCCUAGAAGAAAUAAAGCUGGGAAGAAAGAAUAAUUUCUCUGUGACCAGUAAUGAUAUGUUAAGAUUUAAAGAUCGGGUAUGUGUUCCGAAUGAUGAGAGUGCGAAGAGGGCUAUUUUGGAGGAAGCAUACUACUCCCGUUAUACUGUACACCCAGGGAGUACUAGAUAUAUCAGGACCUGAAGAAGACUUCCUGGUGGAAUGAUAUGAAAAAGGAAGUAGUGUAAUUUGUCUCUAAGUGCUUGACAUGCCAGCAAGUGAAGGCUGAGCAUCAGAAACUAGCUGGACUGUUGCAACCCUUACCCGUGUCAGAGUGGAAAUGGAAACGCAUCACUAUGAACUUUGUCUCUGGCUUUCCUAGAACAGGUGUUGGGCAUGAUAGUAUUUGGGUCAUUGAGGACCGAUUGACUAAAGCUGCUUACUUUUUAUCGGUCCGCACAACUUCUAUUUUGAAUAAAUUGGCCCAGUUAUACUUUAAAGAAAUUGUAAGAUUUCAUGGAAUACCUGUCCACAUCGUGUCCGACAAGGACACUAGAUUUACUUCAAGAUUUUGGAAUAGUCUGCAAUCAGCUUUGGGGACAUGACUCAUUUUUAGCAUUGCUUUCUACCCCCAAAUUGAUGGGCAGUCAGAAAUGACUAUUUAGACCCUGAAGGAUAUGUUAAGGACUUGUGUUAUUGAUUUCAAAAAAAGCUGAGAUGACCAUUUGCCUUUGAUUGAAUUUUUUUAUAACAACAGCUUCCAAGCCAGUAUUCAAAUAGAACCUUUUGAGGCCUUGUAUGGGACGAAGUGUAGAUCACCUAUCUAUUGGGAUGAGGUCGGUGAAAGGAGGCUGUUACGGCAAAAAAUUAUUCAAGCAACCUUAGAAAAUGUUUCAUUGAUUUGAGAGAGACUCAAGACUGCUUAGAGCCGGCAGAAGAGUUACGCUGAUAAUCGAAGGAGAGACCUCGAGUUUGAGGUGGGUGAUCAAAUUUUCUUGAAGGUAUCGCCAAUUAAAGGUAUUAUGAGAUUCGACAAGAAAGGAAAAUUGAGCUCACGAUUUAUUGGACCAUUUCAAAUUCUGAAAAGAGUUGGGAAUAUGGCUUAUCGACUUGCCCUACCACUUGAGUUGACGAAUAUUCAUGACGUGUUCCAUGUAUCAUUGUUAAGGAAAUAUCAGUCGGACCAGUCCCAUGUUCUGAGUUAUAAACCAAUUUUGAUAAGAGAAGACUUUACUUAUAUUGAACGACCGAUUGAAAUACUGGAUAGGAGAGUGCAGGUGUUACGUAAUAAAGAAAUUCCUAUGGUCUGUGUGUUAUGAAAGUAUCACUCAAAGGAAGAAUGGACAUGGGAAUGAGAAGAUGAAAUCCGUGAUAAGUACCCCCAGUUGUUUAACUAACUAAGAUACGAUUUUACAAACAAAAAUCCUAUUUAAGAGGGGGAUGAUGUAACGACCCAGACUUUCACGGUGAAGAGAGAAGAAGAAGAGAAAGUGUGCACGACAGAGAGAACGUGCACAUGACAGUGAGAGAGUGUGCACGAUGGUGAAGAGAGAAGAAGAAGAGAAAGUGCGCACGACGGUGAAGAGAGAAAAAGAAGAGAAAGUGCGCACGACGGUGAAGAGAGAAGAAGAAGAGAAAAUGCGCUACACCGCCGAGCCUAUGUAUGACUCAUGGAUGCCACUUGCCUACUGCAUACUGCCACAGUUGCCACCUGUCAAACUGCAUGUUACUAAACUGCCACAUGGCAACCCCAAGCUGCCACCUCACACUUUUGGAGUACAUAAGUCUCUCUCUCUUUCCCUCACGCCAUGUUCUCACUCUUACAUACCAAAGCACUUAGCAUUUGCAGCCCACUUUCUAACCUUUGCUGGAGCCCAAAUUGAGGAGCUUGAAGAGUGAGUUGUGGGAAGAAAUCUGGGAACACCAUUGCACACAAAAGGUAAGCGGAUCAACUACCUUGUAGGUCUUUAAGCAUGAAUCGAACAGGAAUUAAGCAUGAUAAUGAGAUGAGUAGUAGUAUAAGUAAUGGAUGCAUACGCACACAGUUAUGCUGUGAUUUCCAGCAACACAUCUUGCCUUUGCAUGAUAAAAACAUGUAUAAAAUCUUUCUGUUUUUCAUGGAAAUUCUGUGAUUAUAUGCUUUUAUGUGUCUAUUGGAAAUUGAGAAGCUUUAUGAUAAUAUUUGGCAUGAAUUAAGAGCUAGUUGAUUAUUAUGAUAAGUGAAAUUGUGACUGUGCUGUAAUUUCCAAGAAGAAUCUAUGUUUUUGUUAUAUACUUUUAGCCUAGCAAAUGGCAUGCAAAUAUGUUCAAAUAACCACCAUUAGAAAGAUACAUGGGUCUAAUACAAUAUUCAUUUUUAAACCUUGCUCAAAUUCUUUGUAAAUGGAGAGCGAUGUAUCAAAAUAUGUAAGUAGGUCACUGUUGACAGAUUUCAUAAAAAACUCAGAACUGAUGUCUCUGUUAACCAAAUAGAAACCAUUUUCUUCCAAACAAUUGUCAUUUGAAAGAUCCAUGAGUGUUCUUGUAAUCACAUGUUGAACACAUUUUGAAAUUCCUCCUAGAUUUGACAGUUAUGCAAGUAUUUGUGAAGGCAUGUCACUGCCUUUGCUGCAGAGAAGAUUUCAGAUGGAAUGACUACAUUCUCUUGAGCUUUUGAAGUGCCAAAUGAGAUCCAAACAUUUUCAAACCACUUCCAUUAAAAAGAUACACGUGUCUAGUGAAAAAUUGGUUCGGAACCAUUUUCAAAUUCUGAGGGGAUCGAACAUUAUGACCACGUUUAUGAUCAGAUGUCUCUAGCUGAAAUUAAAGAAAGUGUUAUGCUAUGAUAAGGAGACCGUGACUCUGCUAUAAUGAAAUUGUAGAGGUAUCCCUUAGGAAUGGAAUGCUAUGUCUAAUCUUGCAUAUGUGCAUUUCAAUGUGAAUAAUAAUGACUUUCAAACUGCUAUGAAAUUCUAUACAUGUGAUGCACUAGAACUCUGAAUAUAGCCUGAUUUCUUCACUGAAAAUACAUGAUACUUGAGUAUCCCUGAAAUCCUGAAAAUAGUAAUGCAUAAAUGAAUGAAUGCUCGAAUAUGCAUGUAUACACUGCAAUCAUAUCUGUUAUACGUGCCAUGAACACUAUACAAUGGGUCCUCCAUUGGUAGUGGAUAUUCUAAUUCUUCUUUGUAAGUGACAUCGUCUUCCUGAAAAAUAGUAUGUUUUUAAUAAAUAGUGAUAUUUCCGUCCAGGAUCUUAUUUAUCAGUUUUAUGUGUAAGUGAUCUUAUUGUCUCAAAAAAUAAUCCAUUCUUUUUAAAAAUAAAAUGAAAUAAUUAUUUCUGCUUAUUAUCAUGAAUUUUAGGUGCGAUAAAUUUUAUGCGCACACGACCUCAUUAUCUUGAAAAAUAAUCUUUUUAAUAAAAAUUGUGAUAUUUUAUCUAUGUUAGAAAUUUUAAAUGCUGUAAAUUCUUAGAAAAUAAAUUUAUUUAUUUUUCUUGCCUAUUGUUAGAAAAUUUUAGAUACUAUCAAAUUAUUAUAAAUAAAUGUGAUAUUUCUGCUUUUAGUAAAAUUGUGAUAUUUCUUUCUACUGUUUUGAAUAUUUAGACAUUGUAAAAUUCAUGUGCAAAUGACUGCCUUAUUAUUGACAUUUUUACAAUUGAUUAUAGUAUUAUUGUGAAAUGUUUAUUUGUGGAUUGAUAUCCCAUAAAUUGUGAUAAUUCCGUAUUCUUGAAUUUCUAUAAGAGUUUUUCUAUACAUAUUAAAUUGGCAAUUAUGCUAGAAUACCUUUACAAACUGCUACCUUUCUAAAUUUGAGCCCUAAAUAUUUGAUUGGUUAUUUUUGAAAUGUUAUAGAGAGUGACUGUUAUUAAUGGUUUAAGUGAAAUUCAUAUUAAUGAUUUCAGUGAUAUGUUGAGUACAUGAUAUUGCUGCUUUCGAAUGUUUAAAGAGAUUUAGAAAUAAUUUAAGUAUGCAAGUGGACUCAUCCGGUUCGCCGGUAAGGUAUAAGUGGACCUAUCUGGGACCCCGGUAGGGAUUAAGUGGAGUCAUCCGGUACGCCGGUGAGGUAUAAGUGGACCUGCAGGGAUUAAGUGGACCUAUCUGGGACACCGAAGGGAUUAAGUGGACCCAUCAGGACGCUGAUGGGGUAUAUACGUGACCUACUUGGGACGCCAGUAGGGUAUUUUGUGAAAUCCUUUGAAUUAUGCACUACCGUUAAAAGUGUUAUAAGCAUUUCAAUUACUCGAAUUAUACUUAAUUAUGCAUUUAUUGAAAGUGAAACUGUUGAUGCAUUUCUGUUAAUAGAUCUCAUUUUGGAAAAUAUUGAUAUCUUUCAAUCAUGAUUAUUUUUAGGAUUAUGAUGAUCACUUACUGAGUAGCCAAACUCAUCAAACUAUGGUAAACAUUUUUUCAGGAUAACUGCGGAUUCAUUUUGAGUGCUCGUCAAGAUCAACUUUGGAAGAUACUGUUGUUGUGCUAGCUUUCUUUAUUUACUUUGCGACUGUAAAUUUGUCCUAUCAAUAGAUGUAUAUAUGUUUUGUUUGUCACAUCUCAAAAAUAACAGUAUUGUCAAUUCUUGGGGUGUGACAGUUAGUGUACAAUACAUGACUCUACUUUCUAAUGUCAGUAUGAUCUUUGAUGAACUAUCGGCCAUGUUACCAUUUAUAUGCUUGUAGGCAAGAAUACAAGGGUAGUGAUCUGCUUAUUGGGCUUAUAGCUCAUCCAUCUUUUUUUUUCAUCUGUGUAGAGUGACAGUGACUUGCUGCGAGAGGUGAGUAGCAGAUUGGUGAUAGCAGGCACUUGGAGUUUCAAACCUGUUCAGGAUUUCUUUUUGGCCUAGUA
rnacentral:lncRNA from 1 species